UACGUAGGGGGCUAGCGUUGUCCGGAAUCAUUGGGCGUAAAGAGCGCGUAGGCGGCCAGAUAAGUCCGGUGUGAAAGUCACAGGCUCAACCUGUGAAUGCCGCUGGAAACUGUCUGGCUAGAGUCCGGAAGGGGCGAGUGGAAUUCCUGGUGUAGCGGUGAAAUGCGCAGAUAUCAGGAGGAACACCAGUGGCGAAGGCGGCGAUCUGGGAAGAUACUGACGCUGAGGUGCGAAAGCGUGGGGAGCAAACAGG
rnacentral:rRNA from 1 species